AAUACGUUCCCGGGCCUUGUACACACCGCCCGUCACACCAUGGGAGUCGAUUGCUCCAGAAGUGGCCAUUAGGUCCCCAAGGAGUGCUCGGUAACUGGGGUG
rnacentral:rRNA from 1 species